UCCUACGGGAGGCAGCAGUAGGGAAUCUUCGGCAAUGGACGAAAGUCCGACCGAGCAACGCCGCGUGAGUGAAGAAGGUUUUCGGAUCGUAAAACUCUGUUGUUAGAGAAGAACAAGGAUGAGAGUAAAACGUUCAUCCCUUGACGGUAUCUAACCAGAAAGCCACGGCUAACUACGUGCCAGCAGCCGCGGUAAUACAA
rnacentral:rRNA from 1 species